AUUGAACGCUGGCGGCAUGCCUUACACAUGCAAGUCGAACGGUAACGGGUCCUUCGGGAUGCCGACGAGUGGCGAACGGGUGAGUAAUAUAUCGGAACGUGCCCAGUAGUGGGGGAUAACUGCUCGAAAGAGCAGCUAAUACCGCAUACGACCUGAGGGUGAAAGGGGGGGAUCGCAAGACCUCUCGCUAUUGGAGCGGCCGAUAUCAGAUUAGCUAGUUGGUGGGGUAAAGGCCUACCAAGGCAACGAUCUGUAGUUGGUCUGAGAGGACGACCAGCCACACUGGGACUGAGACACGGCUCAGACUCCUACGGGAGGCAGCAGGGGGGAAUUUUGGACAAUGGGCGCAAGCCUGAUCCAGCAAUGCCGCGUGCAGGAAGAAGGCCUUCGGGUUGUAAACUGCUUUUGUCAGGGAAGAAAUCUUCUGGGCUAAUACCCCGGGAGGAUGACGGUACCUGAAGAAUAAGCACCGGCUAACUACGUGCCAGCAGCCGCGGUAAUACGUAGGGUGCGAGCGUUAAUCGGAAUUACUGGGCGUAAAGCGUGCGCAGGCGGCUUUGCAAGACAGAUGUGAAAUCCCCGGGCUCAACCUGGGAACUGCAUUUGUGACUGCAAGGCUAGAGUACGGCAGAGGGGGAUGGAAUUCCGCGUGUAGCAGUGAAAUGCGUAGAUAUGCGGAGGAACACCAAUGGCGAAGGCAAUCCCCUGGGCCUGUACUGACGCUCAUGCACGAAAGCGUGGGGAGCAAACAGGAUUAGAUACCCUGGUAGUCCACGCCCUAAACGAUGUCAACUGGUUGUUGGACGGCUUGCUGUUCAGUAACGAAGCUAACGCGUGAAGUUGACCGCCUGGGGAGUACGGCCGCAAGGUUGAAACCCAAAGGAAUUGACGGGGACCCGCACAAGCGGUGGAUGAUGUGGUUUAAUUCGAUGCAACGCGAAAAACCUUACCUACCCUUGACAUGUCAAGAAUUCUGCAGAGAUGUGGAAGUGCUCGAAAGAGAACUUGAACACAGGUGCUGCAUGGCCGUCGUCAGCUCGUGUCGUGAGAUGUUGGGUUAAGUCCCGCAACGAGCGCAACCCUUGUCAUUAGUUGCUACGCAAGAGCACUCUAAUGAGACUGCCGGUGACAAACCGGAGGAAGGUGGGGAUGACGUCAGGUCCUCAUGGCCCUUAUGGGUAGGGCUACACACGUCAUACAAUGGCCGGUACAGAGGGCUGCCAACCCGCGAGGGGGAGCCAAUCCCAGAAAACCGGUCGUAGUCCGGAUCGUAGUCUGCAACUCGACUGCGUGAAGUCGGAAUCGCUAGUAAUCGCGGAUCAGCUUGCCGCGGUGAAUACGUUCCCGGGUCU
rnacentral:rRNA from 1 species